CACACAGCAGUCGACUGGCUCACCCAUCAACUUUGGGUGCGAUUGAUUUGAUUAUGAAGGUUUAGAUGAGUAGGAGACCAAGGCUCUUUUGUUUGACAUUGCUUUUGCUUUUAGACCCAAAUCGACCAACUUGUUGCAGCAAGUUGAGAAACCAAAGAAACCAACUUGCUACUUCAUAUUAUGUUAAAGAGUAGAUGUAUCUCGGCUUUUGGGCCCCCAGACAAGAUUUUUCCAUAUUCAUUUUGAGGCUGCUAUAAAUUUUUAUUAUUAUUAUCAUCAAUAUUAUUUUAUUUUAGGGAUUUUGUUGUUUUUUUUGGAACUUGGGUUCUAUAAAUUUGCACGUUUCCCUCCCUACUCUCAUCACUCCCUCCACUGCCUCCAAUAUUCAGAGACACAAAAAUAUCAAGAUGGAAUCUUCUUCAUCUUCUACACAUUUUGCGCCAAGUUUUCUCACAGCACUUUCCAUUAGUUUCUGCAUAAUCUCCUCAACCUCAGCAGCCAGAGACCUUGCACCAAAAACCAACACUGAAUUCAUCAAAACAUCUUGCAGUGCAACAACCUACCCUAAACUCUGCCUCACCUCUCUCUCAAGCCAUGCAAGCACAAUCCAAACAAGUCCUAAGCUCAUGGCUGGUGCAGCCCUUAAUGUGACACUUUCCUCUGCCAAAUCCACCUCUGCCAUGAUGCUAAAACUCUCCCAAAGCCAUGGCUUGAAGCCUAAAGAAGUUGGUGCCAUGAGAGACUGCCUCGAAGAGUUAAGUGACUCGGUGGACUGAGAUGGGUAACUUCAAAAGCUAUGAUUUUCAGCUCAUGAUAAGUGAUGUCCAAACUUGGGUUAGUGCUGCUUUGACAGAUGAGAACACAUGUUCUGAGGGGUUUGGUGGAAAUGGGAUGAAUGGGAAUUUGAAGACUGCUGUGAGAGGCCGGAUUGUGAAUAUAGCACAAUUGACUAGCAAUGCCUUGGCUUUGAUCAACCGAUACGCCUCUGUUCAUGGUUAAAUUGAUCUACUCUGCUCUGUUAAGAUAAUUACGAGGAAGAUGCUUGCAAUUGUUUUAUAAUUUUGAUUGUAUUACAUAUAAAUAGUGUUGUGAGGGUGGUCUUGUUGUAAUUGUACAUUUUAAAUGCUUGAUCUACGAAUCUAUUGGUUUUCAAACUUA